GGCGGGCGGCGGAGAAAACUUAUAUGGGGGGGGACCCUGGCGCCUUUCUCCCCAUUCACUGCACAAAUAUAAUCCUGGAGAGCAGGAGGCGCAGAGGGCAAAGAGGUGCGGCAGCUCGGCUCCGCAGGGCUUCAAAUGGCAGGGCUGUCUCCCUCCUUCGGGGUCUGCACGCCAGGCAGCUGUACGGCCGCUGAGCUCUGGCCCUCCCUGCACCACACACGGAGGAGAGACACCUUGAGACUGGGAAGAUCAAAGCCUCCCCCCCCCCCCGGAUCUCAGCUCGUCUUGUAGGAUUGGCCCGGCGGAGGGGGGUGCUGAGGGCCUUUUUCUGCCGGUGCUGCCAGUCUCGCUCCUGCCCGGCCUCACUACGUCCCUCAGAAACAUCCACGUUGGCAGGAGAGCCUCUAUAGGACUGUAGAGGGUUCAAAGGACACUGUCUGGGGAGGGUUCACAACAGCCCUGUAAAGUGGGCCAGGCCGAGAGGCUGUGUAAUGCAGUGAGGCUUGAGAGCCGCUCCCUCCUCCAAGGUGCAUCCUGGGAGCCGCUGUGAGAGACCCAGAGGGGGUGACCCAGUUGACACCUGUCCCUCCUCCUCCUCCCUCGCCAUGGCUGCAGCGGCACCGUCUGGAUCGUCUCUUCUUUGGGGUGGGUUGGAAAGAGCUGUCAGGUGGGCGCCAAAGGUAAGGAGAAGAUCAUUGGGGGGACACACAGAGGGGACAACCUGGGGGCCUCUCUGUGUGCUGAGUGUGGAGGAGCUCUGAAAGAACCUACCUUUCUGCCUCUAUGU